rnacentral:lncRNA from 1 species
AUGAAGUGUGAAAGACCCUCUGCUUUGCUCCCACAGUCCUUCCUCCUACACCUCUGCCUGUCCACCUCUCCCUCUCUCAUUCUCUUUCUCCACCUCUGCCUCUCUCACUCUCUUUCUCCACCUCUCCAUCUCUCCAUCUCUCCAUCUCUCAUUCUCUUUCUCUGCCUCUCUCCACCUCUGCCUCUCUCCAUCUCUCAUUCUUUCUCCAUCUCUCCAUCUCUCCAUCUCUUUCUCCACCUCUCCAUCUCUCCAUCUCUCCUUCUCUUUCUCCUAUGCCUCUCUCCAUCUCUCAUUCUUUCUCCACCUCUCCAUCUCUCCAUCUCUCCAUCUCUUACUCCACCUCUGCCUCUCUCCAUCUCUCAUUCUCUUUCUCCCUCUCUGCCUCUCUCCAUCUCUCAUUCUCUUUCUCCACCUCUGCCUCUCUCACUCUCUUUCUCCACCUCUCCAUCUCUCCAUCUCUCCUUCUCUUUCUCCUAUGCCUCUCUCCAUCUCUCAUUCUUUCUCCACCUCUCCAUCUCUCCAUCUCUCCAUCUCUUACUCCACCUCUGCCUCUCUCCAUCUCUCAUUCUCUUUCUCCCUCUCUGCCUCUCUCCAUCUCUCAUUCUCUUUCUCCACCUCUGCCUCUCUCACUCUCUUUCUCCACCUCUCCAUCUCUCCAUCUCUCCUUCUCUUUCUCCUAUGCCUCUCUCCAUCUCUCCCUCUCUCCAUCUCCCCAUCUCUCAUUCUCUUUCUCUGCCUCUCUCCAUCUCUCAUUCUCUUUCUCCACCUCUGCCUCUCUCACUCUCUUUCUCCCUCUCUCCAUCUCGCCAUCUCUCCAUCUCUCAUUCUCUUUCUCCUUUGCCUCUCUCUAUCUCUCAUUCUUUCUCCACCUCUCCAUCUCUCCAUCUCUCAUUCUCUUUCUCUGUCUCUCUCCAUCUCUCAUUCUUUCUCCACCUCUCCAUCUCCCCAUCUCUCAUUCUCUUUCUCUGUCUCUCUCCAUCUCUCAUUCUCUUUCUCCACCUCUGCCUCUCUCACUCUCUUUCUCCACCUCUCCAUCUCUCCAUCUCUCACUCUCUUUCUCCACCUCUGCCUCUCUCCAUCUCUCAUUCUCUUUCUCCACCUCUGCCUCUCUCCAUCGCUCUUUCUCCUUCUCCCUUUCUAGCUCUGGGCUGCACAGAGAUAAGUAGCACACACACACCACACCCUGUGGAGUUUUCUGGAGUGCCUCAGAUGACUCUUCCUCUCUUCCUCACUUCCUCACUUCCUCACUUUCUCCCUCUCCCCAAACCACCGCCCCAUUCUCUGCUCAGUUAUCAUUUAUUUUAUUCAGGACACACACACACGUGUGUGUAUAAAUAUAUAUAUAUAUAUAUAUAUAUAUAUAUAUAUAUGCAUGUGUGUGUGUGUCCUGAAUAA